AAGUCGUAACAAGGUAUCCGUAGGUGAACCUGCGGAUGGAUCAUUAACACAACCCCCAAAAAACUCUUGGGUCGGAAGCGAACCUCUUUUGGUUUUCUCCCCUCCCAUUGAAACCCCACUAUAUGCGAACUUGUCAACGGUCGGAUUGCCUUUGUGCAUUCCAGCCGUUCGUUUUUUCUCUCUUUCACUAUUAUUAUAAUCAAAAACCCAAACCUAAACAACUUUGUCUAAAAAAACUGGUUCUCUAUCUACGAAAGUAGUGUAGGAAACCAACUUAAAAAAAAACUAAAAUACAACUUUUAACAACGGAUAUCUUGGCUCUC
rnacentral:misc_RNA from 1 species